UACGGAGGGUGCAAGCGUUAUCCGGAUUCACUGGGUUUAAAGGGUGCGUAGGAGGGCAGGUAAGUCAGUGGUGAAAUCUCCAAGCUUAACUUGGAAACUGCCGUUGAUACUACCUGUCUUGAAUAUUGUGGAGGUGAGCGGAAUAUGUCAUGUAGCGGUGAAAUGCUUAGAUAUGACAUAGAACACCAAUUGCGAAGGCAGCUCACUACACAAUCAUUGACUCUGAGGCACGAAAGCGUGGGGAUCAAACAGG
rnacentral:rRNA from 1 species